rnacentral:rRNA from 1 species
UACGUAGGUGACCAGCGUUGUCCGGAUUUACUGGGCGUAAAGAGCGCGCAGGCGGUCGUUCAAGUCGAGUGUGAAAGCCCCCGGCUCAACUGGGAGGGUGCGCCGAAAACUGGAGGGCUAGAGUACUGGAUGGGAGAGUGGAAUUCCUGGUGUAGCGGUGAAAUGCGUAGAUAUCAGGAGGAACACCUGUGGUGUAGACGGCUCUCUGGACAGUAACUGACGCUGAGACACGAAAGCGUGGGUAGCAAACAGG